GGGAUCAUUACCGAGUUAUACAACUCAUCAACCCUGUGAACAUACCUAUAACGUUGCCUCGGCGGGAACAGACGGCCCCGUAACACGGGCCGCCCCCGCCAGAGGACCCCCUAACUCUGUUUCUAUAAUGUUUCUUCUGAGUAAACAAGCAAAUAAAUUAAAACUUUCAACAACGGAUCUCUUGGCUCUGGCAUCGAUGAAGAACGCAGCGAAAUGCGAUAAGUAAUGUGAAUUGCAGAAUUCAGUGAAUCAUCGAAUCUUUGAACGCACAUUGCGCCCGCCAGUAUUCUGGCGGGCAUGCCUGUUCGAGCGUCAUUACAACCCUCAGGCCCCCGGGCCUGGCGUUGGGGAUCGGCGGAAGCCCCCUGCGGGCACAACGCCGUCCCCCAAAUACAGUGGCGGUCCCGCCGCAGCUUCCAUUGCGUAGUAGCUAACACCUCGCAACUGGAGAGCGGCGCGGCCACGCCGUAAAACACCCAACUUCUGAAUGUUGACCUCGAAUCAGGUAGGAAUACCCGCUGAACUUAAG
rnacentral:misc_RNA from 1 species